AACGAACGCUGGCGGCAUGCCUAACACAUGCAAGUCGAACGUGAUCCGGGACUUCGGUUUCGGUGAAAGUGGCGGACGGGUGAGUAACGCGUGGGAACCUGCCCAGUGGUAGGGGAUAACCGCGGGAAACUGCGGCUAAUACCCUAUGUGCCCUGCGGGGCAAAGAUUCAUCGCCAUUGGAGGGGCCCGCGUCGGAUUAGGUAGUUGGUGGGUAACGGCCUACCAAGCCUUCGAUCCGUAGCUGGUCUGAGGGGAUGAUCAGCCACACUGGGACUGAGACAC
rnacentral:rRNA from 1 species